rnacentral:rRNA from 1 species
UACGGAGAGUGCAAACGUUGUUCGGAUUUACUGGGCGUAAAGGGCACGUAGGCGGCUCGGCAAAUCGGUUGUGGAAUCUCGACGCUUACCGUCGAAACGGCAGCCGAAAAUACCGGGCUAGAGGGCGUGAGGGGUCACUGGAACUCCUGGUGAAGCGGUGAAAUGCGUAGAUAUCAGGAGGAACGCCGGAGGCGAAAGCGAGUGACUGGCGCGUUCCUGACGCUGAGGUGCGAAAGCUAGGGGAGCAAACAGG